CAGUUUAUAAAUUGAUAAAUUUUAUUUUUGCACCCUGUGUUAAGCAAUAUGCUAUAAAUCUAGCUUAUUUUUAUAAGAUUUAUAUAGAAAAUGAUAAUUUUUAGAGAAAUGCAUCUUAAAUUAUGGAUAAAUUAUGCAUUGAAGGAAUUGGGGAGUGUGUGGUUUCAGAUUGGUUACAUUGGUUAAAAAAAGUGAUUGGCAAGCUCAUUCCAGAGCUCUCUAAGGGGCCCAAGAUUCACCGGCCAUGGGAUUCGAACAAGCACCAUAGUAGCCUAUUGCUCAUAUGGACCACACAUUAUAUGUUUUGAUGUUUCAGCAAAGGAUUGAUGCUGUAGUAAUCAGUAUGUAAAUAUUCACUAUUGUCCUGUAUUUAAAUACAAGAAGAACUAACAAUUGAACAGGACAAAUGUGAUUUAUAUUUUGGAAAUAUAGGCAUUUUCAGUGUAGUGAAACUUGAUGUUUUGCUGUGUUGCAGAAUGUAUUUGCUAGUAAUAUAUACACAUAAAAGAUUUUCUAGUCAUUAAACAGUGUAUUUUAUGGAUAAUUGGCUCAUUUAGAAUAACACAGUUGAUAUAAUUGUUGUUGUUGUUGUUGUUGUAGCUGCUACAGCAGUUAAAUUAGGUUAGGUUUAUAAUGUCUUAACUGCUAUUUUCAUGCAGGCAUGCAUUUUUCAGAACACAAUAUUCAUAUAAACUCUCCUGUGUGAAUUAACAAAUCUAGCCAUUUAUUAAUUAAGACAUUAUUUUCUUUCUUUUUCAGAUAUUAGAAUUACAGCAUAAAUGCCCCUUAUAAUUUUCUUAAGCAUGUACUAGUGUUGCAUAUUUUUUCAGACCAUGCAGUUACCAAAGCCUGGGUUUGAGUAUAUGACCUAACCUUAUCCUGGUAAAGAUCUAUAGAAGGACUCCUUCACCUCUGUUUGGCAGCAGCUUUGUCAGGACACAUUGAGAAGGAACUCAUUUGUUGGUGGAAGGAUUAAAGAUGUACUACCCACCAGCUGUCAGGAGUUUUUAAAGUGGUGAAUUUAAACAGUGUUACAACAGAAUGAAGAUUUCUGAAAAAAGUAGAUGGCUAAC